UACAGAGGUCCCAAGCGUUGUUCGGAUUCACUGGGCGUAAAGGGUGCGUAGGUGGCGCCAUAAGUCAGGUGUGAAAUCUCGGGGCUUAACUCCGAAACUGCAUUUGAUACUGUGGUGCUCGAGUACUGGAGAGGAGACUGGAAUUUACGGUGUAGCAGUGAAAUGCGUAGAUAUCGUAAGGAAGACCGGUGGCGAAAGCUAGUCUCUGGACAGUUACUGACACUGAGGCACGAAGGCCAGGGGAGCAAACGGG
rnacentral:rRNA from 1 species